AAUCAUACUAUUGAUUUGAUUAUAUUUAAAUUAAAAAUGGAACCAAUCCGAUCUACGUAAAUGUAACAUAUAAGUAAACAUAAUUAUAUAAAAUAUUUUCCUGCCAAACAGAGGAACCUUUCUCUCUCACUGCCGUCUAUCUCUCUCUAAACUAGGGUCUCACUACCCUCUCUCUAGACGGUGGUGACGGUGACGGUGAGUUCUGCUGAGUUGUAUCGACGGCGACGGAGACGACGACGGUAUUGACGUCGUUGAAGGCAUUGCGCUCGUUUCGUUGGUGGUGAAGGCGCUGCAACGGGAUACUUAAAUGGGGGGAAAAGAUGUAACUUUUCUUGAGGUCUUCGAAGAGACGCAUAAGAAUAAAAAGAGUGACGAUACAAGAGGAGAUUGGGUCGAAAUGCGUGCUGAGGAUACACAUGAAGAAUUUCAAAAAGGCAUGGAAGAUUGACGUCAAAUCCAAUCUGCUUCAAAGAAUGGUAUCAUGGUCCAACCAUCACCUGCAAAUAUGACUAAAAUAUGGACAACUGUGAUCGGUGGUUCAGAGAAAGGUAGAAACUAUGGGUUGGGGUUCUCCAAUCCUCGAGUAGUCCUUCAUUCUAGUCAACUCCUCUUCUACUUCACAAAUUAUGGAAGAGAUGAGAAAACAAAUUAUAGAGUUGACGCAAUAGUGUGCCGCUAAUGAUGCUAAGUUUGCCAACUUUGCUAAAUUUGAGGAGUUGGUCAAGAAGCACAUGCCUCAAGUAUUUGAUGAUAAGGAAAAGGGUGAAUCUGAUGAUGAUUAGAUUGUAGUUGUUGGUUCUUGUUUUUGAUUGUGACCUUCAAACUUAAAAUUCUCUUGGGAUGUUUAAACUAUUUGACUCGAUGUUUGUUUUGAAUUGUGACGUUAUUUAGACUUAACAUCCCAGAAGAACUUUAAGUCUAAAUAACAUCACAAUCCAAAACAAACAUCGAGUCAAAUAGUUUAAAUAUCCCAAGAGAAUUUUAAGUCUGAAGGCCACAAUAAAAAACAAGAACCAACAACUACAAUCUAAUCAUCAUCAGAUUCACCCUUUUCCUCAUCAUCAAAUACUCGAGGCAUGUGCUUCUUGACUAACUCCUCAAAUUUAGCAAACUUAGCAUCAUUAGCUGCACACUGUUGCGUCAACUCUACAAUUUGCUUUCUCAUCUCUUUCAUUUCUUCCAUAGUUUGCGAAGUAGACGAGGAGUUAGGCAACAACGAAGGACUACUUGAGGAUUGGAGAACCUCAAGCCUGUAGUUUCUACCUUUCUUUGGACCACCUGUCACAGUUGUCCAUAUUUUAGUCAUCUGCAGGUGAUGGUUGGACCAUGGUACCAUCCUCGGAAGAAGGUUGGGUUUGUGUAACACCUCGCUUUUUUUUUUUGGACUAAAAUUGAACAGUCUUUUCGAUGUAAAUAAACCCGAAUACAACGGUUUCUAGUUGGAAAUAAGUAUGAAUAACAAUGCUUUAGUGUGAGAACAUCUUUUGAGAUGAGUAUACGUCAUAAAAGUCUCCAAGCUCAAAGUUAAGUUGAACACUUACCGGUUGAGUUUCAGUUGAUUUUUCUUGGGUCAACUUCUAGUGACCAUUGCUUCUAGAAUAUAAGGAGUUAUGUUGCCCAUUAAAGAUCUUUUGAGUCCUUUUUUCAAUGCAAUUGAUCGUUCAUCAA